GAACCACUUCGGUGGGGAUUAGUGGCGAACGGGUGAGUAACACGUGGGCAAUCUGCCCUGCACUCUGGGACAAGCCCUGGAAACGGGGUCUAAUACCGGAUACUGAUCCGUCUGGGCAUCCAGACGGUUCGAAAGCUCCGGCGGUGCAGGAUGAGCCCGCGGCCUAUCAGCUUGUUGGUGAGGUAGUGGCUCACCAAGGCGACGACGGGUAGCCGGCCUGAGAGGGCGACCGGCCACACUGGGACUGAGACACGGCCCAGACUCCUACGGGAGGCAGCAGUGGGGAAUAUUGCACAAUGGGCGAAAGCCUGAUGCAGCGACGCCGCGUGAGGGAUGACGGCCUUCGGGUUGUAAACCUCUUUCAGCAGGGAAGAAGCGAAAGUGACGGUACCUGCAGAAGAAGCGCCGGCUAACUACGUGCCAGCAGCCGCGGUAAUACGUAGGGCGCGAGCGUUGUCCGGAAUUAUUGGGCGUAAAGAGCUCGUAGGCGGCUUGUCACGUCGGUUGUGAAAGCCCGGGGCUUAACCCCGGGUCUGCAGUCGAUACGGGCAGGCUAGAGUUCGGUAGGGGAGAUCGGAAUUCCUGGUGUAGCGGUGAAAUGCGCAGAUAUCAGGAGGAACACCGGUGGCGAAGGCGGAUCUCUGGGCCGAUACUGACGCUGAGGAGCGAAAGCGUGGGGAGCGAACAGGAUUAGAUACCCUGGUAGUCCACGCCGUAAACGGUGGGCACUAGGUGUGGGCAACAUUCCACGUUGUCCGUGCCGCAGCUAACGCAUUAAGUGCCCCGCCUGGGGAGUACGGCCGCAAGGCUAAAACUCAAAGGAAUUGACUGGGGCCCGCACAAGCGGCGGAGCAUGUGGCUUAAUUCGACGCAACGCGAAGAACCUUACCAAAGCUUGACAUACACCGGAACGUCUGGAGACAGCGCCCCUUGUGUCGGUGUACAGGUGGUGCAU
rnacentral:rRNA from 1 species